AGGUGGGGGAGUAACGUAGCGAAAGUUUACGCUAACUACCGCAUAAUUUCCUGUGAGCAGGAAAGCAGGGGAUCGCAAGACCUUGCGCUGAUUGAGCGGCCGAUAUCAGAUUACGCUAGUUGGUGAGGUAAAGGCUCACCAAGGCGACGAUCUGUAGCGGGUCUGAGAGGAUGAUCCGCCACACUGGAACUGAGACACGGUCCAGACUCCCUACGGGAGGCAGCAGUGGGGAAAUUUUGGACAAUGGGGCGCAAGCCUGAUCCAGCCCAUGCCGCGUGAGUGAAGAAGGCCUUCGGGUUGUAAAGCUCUUUCGGCCGGGAAGAAAUCGCACAGGUUAAUACCCUGUGUGGAUGACGGUACCGGAAUAAGAAGCACCGGCUAACUACGUG
rnacentral:rRNA from 1 species